GGGAAUGGCGGCAGCUACACAUGCAAGUCGAGCGGUAACAGGAAGAAGCUUGCUUCUUUGCUGACGAGCGGCGGACGGGUGAGUAAUACUUGGGAACUUGCCUUUAGGAGGGGGAUAACCGCUGGAAACGGUGGCUAAUACCGCAUAAUGUCUACGGACCAAAGCAGGGGCUCUUCGGACCUUGCACCUAAAGAUAGGCCCAAGCGAGAUUAGCUAGUUGGUGGGGUAAAGGCCCACCAAGGCGACGAUCUCUAGCUGUUCUGAGAGGAUGAUCAGCCACACUGGGACUGAGACACGGCCCAGACUCCUACGGGAGGCAGCAGUGGGGAAUAUUGCACAAUGGGGGAAACCCUGAUGCAGCCAUGCCGCGUGUGUGAAGAAGGCCUUCGGGUUGUAAAGCACUUUCAGUGGUGAGGAAGGCCGUAAGAUUAAUACUCUUGCGGAUUGACGUUAACCACAGAAGAAGCACCGGCUAACUCCGUGCCAGCAGCCGCGGUAAU
rnacentral:rRNA from 1 species